UUACAUGUAAAUUGCUUAUUAACUGUUCAUAGUAAUUCACCUCAAGAUGCAUAUGGAAAUCCACCAGGGUGCCCUAGGUAAACAGUGAAAAUUUAGCCUGGAGCUGUAUCCACACCACAGCACAUGUUUUGGAAUGAAGUCAGCGGGGAUAGCUGGGCAGGAUGAGCUGUUUCUUUGCAUUAGCAUCGUGAGUCCCUCACGGCCAGCAUGUUGCCAUCACUUUUGCUUUUCUUGCCCCCAGAGUAGAACUACAAAUAAUAGAAGAUAUUAAAUGCCCAUGGUUUGCACAGAGCCAUCCUGGAUUGGUGGGAACAAGUAGCCAUUGGGGUCAGACAAACAUGCAUAAUGUCUGUACCAAACAAGGCAGAAGUUGCCAAGUUCCAAAGGACAAGCACGACAUGGCAGGGCACUCAUGGGAAGCAGAGGCUACCAGUGAU
rnacentral:lncRNA from 1 species